rnacentral:rRNA from 1 species
AUUUAAAUCACUUAACGAGGAUCAAUUGGAGGGCAAGUCUGGUGCCAGCAGCCGCGGUAAUUCCAGCUCCAAUAGUGUAUAUUAAAGUUGUUGCAGUUAAAAAGCUCGUAGUUGUACUUCUGACAGUGUGCAGUUUUGGUUUCUAUCAGGCUGCAUUGCUGUCAUCCGUCUGCAAACUCUGUUCAAUCUUCGCUGGUUGGCAGGGGGAGUAGACAUUUUACUUUGAAAAAAUUAGAGUGUUUCAAGCAGGUUAUUGCCAGAAUACUUUAGCAUGGAAUAAUGGAAUAGGACUCUUGUCCAUUUGGUUGGUUAUUGGACCAGAGUAAUGAUUAACAGGGACAGUUGGGGGCAUUAGUAUUUAAUUGUCAGAGGUGAAAUUCAUGGAUUUAUUAAAGACUAACUUAUGCGAAAGCAUUUGCCAAGGAUGUUUUCAUUAAUCAAGAACGAAAGUUAGGGGAUCAAAGACGAUCAGAUACCGUCCUAGUCUUAACUAUAAACGAUGUCGACUCGGGAUUGGAAAGGUUUCCAAUUAUCCUUUCCAGCACCGUAUGAGAAAUCAUUAAGUCUUUGGAUUCUGGGGGGAGUAUGGUCGCAAGGCUGAAACUUAAAGGAAUUGACGGAAGAGCACCACCAGGCGUGGGACCUGCGGCUUAAUUUGACCCAACACGGGAAAACUUAUUUCAGCAAAACAUGAGUGGGAUUGACAGAUUGAGAGCUCUUUCUUGAUUUUAUGGGGUGUGGUGCAUGGCCGUUCUUAGUUGGUGGGGUGAUUUGUCUGGUUAAUUCCGUUAACGAACGAGACCUUAACCUGCUAACUAGUCAGUGUGUUAACCUACGCUCUGUACUUCUUAGAGGGACUAUGGGUAAUAAGCCCAUGGAAGUUUGAGGCAAUAACAGGUCUGUGAUGCCCAUAGAUGUUGAAAGCGGCACGCGCGUCAUACUGUCCAGUAACAGCAAGUUUUACCUCCUCUACCGGAAGGUUAGGGGUAAUCUAUAAAACUGGACGUGGUAGGGAUAGAUCUUUGGAAUUAUAGAUCUUGAACGAAGAAUGCCUAGUAAGUACAAGUCAUCAACUUGUGCUGAUUACGUCCCUGUCCUUUGUACACACCGCCCGUCGCUCCUACCGAUUUCGAGCGAUAUGGUGAAUCUCCUGGACCGUGGGGUCCCUCGUGGGCCUCGUGGAAAGUUUAGUAAACCUUAUCGCUUAGAGGAAGGAAAAGUCGUAACAAGGUA